CCGUACACAAAAAUGCACAUACUGUGAGCUCGAUGAGUAGGGCGGGACACGUGGUAUCCUGUCUGAAUAUGGGGGGACCAUCCUCCAAGGCUAAAUACUCCUGACUGACCGAUAGUGAACCAGUACCGUGAGGGAAAGGCGAAAAGAACCCCGGCGAGGGGAGUGAAAAAGAACCUGAAACCGUGUACGUACAAGCAGUGGGAGCCUCUUUUAUGGGGUGACUGCGUACCUUUUGUAUAAUGGGUCAGCGACUUAUAUUCUGUAGCAAGGUUAACCGAAUAGGGGAGCCGAAGGGAAACCGAGUCUUAACCGGGCGUUAAGUUGCAGGGUA
rnacentral:rRNA from 1 species